GCUUACGGCCAUAUCACCUUAGGCACACCCGAUCGUGUCUGAUCUCGGAAGCUAAGCAGGGUCGGGCCGGGUUAGUACUUGGAUGGGUGACCGCCUGGGAAUACCAGGUGCUGUAAGCA
ensembl:rRNA 5S_rRNA 5S ribosomal RNA